rnacentral:lncRNA from 1 species
UUGUUUUUUUGGGAUUUUUCCCAAAUAUGUUUAAGAAAUCAAAAUGCAUUAUUUCUGCUUGUAGAUUUUAUUUCGGGAUUUUUCCCGAAAUGGGUAACAAAAAUCUAUGUAACAAGUGAGUGCCUGAUAUUAGAUUUAUAUUUUCGGGAUUUUUCCCGAAAUGUGAAAAGAAAUUAUUAGUCGUUAUGUCUAGUAUAUACACUUGAAUUUUCGGGACAAAUCCCGAAAUAUUUGAAGACAUCUGUGUGCAUAUUUUGUAGUAGGUUAAUUUUUGUCGGGAUGUUUCCCGAAAUGUGUUUUUCAGGAUUUUUUCCAAAUAUGUUUAAGAAAUCAAAAUGCAUUAUUUCUGCUUGUAGAUUUUAUUUCGGGAUUUUUCCCGAAAUGGGUAACAAAAAUCUAUGUAAAAAGUGUGUGCCUGAUAUUAGAUUUAUAUUUUCGGGAUUUUUCCCGAAAUGUGAAAAGAAAUUAUUAGUCGUUAGGUCUAGCAUAUACACUUGAUUUUUCGGGAUAAAUCCCGAAAUAUUUGAAGACAUCUGUGUACAUAUUUUGUAGUAAGUUAAUUUUUGUCGGGAUAUUUCCCGAAAUGUUUUUCAGAUAUUUUUGUUGAAACGCUCUGCCAACAUAUAUGUUAUAAAUAAUAAUGUUGAAAAUGAUUUCGGGAUAUUUCCCGAAAAAAUAGUUGUCACAUACAGCUUCAC